GAAGUGAUUUAAAAGAAGUCACUGACUCUGCUACUGUAUUAAGGCUCUGACCUCCUGCGUGUGUAUCAUUUAGGGGGCAUGUUAUUUACCUGCAGGAAAUGACGUAUGCACCCUGCAUUCAGUUUGCGGUAGUGUAAAAAAAAGUGGAGAGAUUUUGAGUUAGUGUGCCUGCAUUAGCCAACAGUUAAGUCUAGCGUUUACCCGUGACAACUGAUGAUCUUCUUCUCCUGUGUGCUCCAGUUGUGAUACUCUGAGUACUGAGUUAAUGACGUGAAGAACUAUAGAGCUGCAGUGUGCUGACGUAAACUCAAAUCUAAGCUGAAGGAGAAGUUCCAAAAGCAGGACACCCAACCCAUCUGAAUCAGAUCGACACAGAGCUCCACAUCCCAGAGGAAGGAACUGGAGAGAUCUGGUCCACUUCUCUCCCGGCUUCACCCACACGCCGCCGGUUGGGUUAUCCAUCACGUACUCCAGCCCCCCGGUGUCGCAGCGGCUUUGGGGCCAGGAAUGGUGUGCUGACUUCUCCAGUGCCCGGCACGAGUGAAGAUAGGCGGACUGACUGGUCACCUUCCUCUGUAUGUGGACAACGGAGGCUGGAGUAGAACAUGAGUCCAUUCUCUGAUACAUGUCCACUGCGCCAAAGUGGUGGAAAAUCACCCUGGCUUCUAUGGAGGAUUUGGAGCCGUGCUGUCCCAUAUUGUUACUUAAAUUGAAAACAAUCCAAGAAAAAAAACAAAAAAAACAAAGCAGAAUUGUUUUAUUCUUGCUCAGUUGGCUGAAUGAAAACUUUCUUCCACUGCAGCCUGCGCUCACUUGCCUCACUUAUAAAGUGCCAAAUCCAUAUAAAAUAGGAUUAAGACUUCCCGUAAAGCUGUGGUGUGACGCACUUGACUUUAUGGUCAUUAGACACCUAUUGCAAUGCGGGUCUUGAGCAUUUGGAUCACUUCAUGUCCGAGCUAUUCUGAGUAUCUCCACCUGGCACAGACUGUCACUAAACUCGGCGUCACCGAGCGCCUCCGAGCUGUCUCCGCCCCUCCAGAAGACUGCAGCUGGGGGCCAGUUGCUUUGCAGUGGCAGUGCAGAGCUAUACGCCAAAGAGAGCUAUUUUUGUUCCAGCAGAGGCAUUUCAGAAACACGCAGAAGAUGUCACGUGUUUUUCCAUAACCUAACUCUGACCUCACCACCUCAUUUGUUUGAUGGUUGAGAUUUAGGCUACAGCAAACAAGGAUGUUGAGACCGGUGGUUGGUUGCCAGGACACAGCCGAAUUAAGUCCCUGGAAAGGCCAUAAAAAAGCAGAAGAAGAAAAAGAAUCAUUCCUCCGCAUUUAGCUUAUUCUUGUUGUGCCUUUGACAAAAGCACUUCAGACCUAACCACUCCAGGAGAGCUUUCCAAUAUGGCCAGCAUCAGGUGUGAGUGUGCACUGCACCAAAACCUGUUGUGUGCAAAAAAAAAAAAAAAAAAAAAAAGGUAGGCUAUAGUGUCAUACAAAUGAAGAAGCAGUGGUCAUAAAUUGAAUCAGAUGAAAUGAUGAAUAAAUGAUUGAACUUAUGUCGUGAACAUGCUGCACAGUCAUAGGCCACUAGAGGCCAGAGUGAAACACAAGGCCUUUGUAAUAAAAAAGACUAAAGGGGAAAUAUAUUUCAGAUGAAAGAGCUUGUUUAAUACAGAUAAUUUACAUACAGAGAGUCUUUACACUUUUUUUUCUUUUUACACCGAGCAUUAGCUCAACAUGUGUGAAUCAUGAACUGCCUCUCAAAUUAAAGUGAUGGGUUUCUUGUUUUAUUGUAAACUUCUGCUCAUAUACAGAAGGACAGAAAACUAAAUAUACAGAAUACUGAUUUGGCAAUCUGCCAGACACAAACAAAAAAUAAUAAAUAAGGCAUUAGGUAAACUGUUAAAUAAAAAAAGGCUUCUUUCGACUGAUGUAAAGGUCAUGGUACACAGUGGUAUAAAGUAGCUGAACUUAAAAACAGUAGUAAAUCAAGUAGCUAUGGUUUACUGUAACUUUCCUUGACAGGUUGUAGCUGUCGGUGACACCGGUCGUAUUGCUUCAAGAGCAUAUCAUAUUUCUAGCUACUAGUAUUCUGGCUGCGGCUGUACAGUUUGUGAUGUGUCAUCUCUGAGUCAGGUUCUCAUGGCAGCAGAGGCGUGGAAGUCUGUUGUACCUCCUGUUUUAUGUGCUUGCGGGUCAAAGGCAGCCACCAGUGUCCAUUGAUGCAAACGAACUUUGUUCAUGAACAUGGAUAAGCCAAAGCACAUGCCCUGAUACAGAUGGUGUAAAAUCAUUUUUGAUGCAACAGUUAACAUCAGCUCCAUAAAAUUGCGUUACCAAGAGGUGAAGGUCAGGAACUACAUCAGGUUCUACAUACAUUAAAACCCUCUUGUAUUACUGAGGAUAUACAGUGUUUACAUUGGCUGAUAUGUAAUAAGAAUUUGCCAUUCCAAAAAAUAAACAUCUGAAAAGUG